rnacentral:rRNA from 2 species
GCCUAUAAUGCAGUCGACGCUUCUUUUUCCACCGGAGCUUGCUCCACCGGAAAAAGAGGAGUGGCGAACGGGUGAGUAACACGUGGGUAACCUGCCCAUCAGAAGGGGAUAACACUUGGAAACAGGUGCUAAUACCGUAUAACAAUCAAAACCGCAUGGUUUUGAUUUGAAAGGCGCUUUCGGGUGUCGCUGAUGGAUGGACCCGCGGUGCAUUAGCUAGUUGGUGAGGUAACGGCUCACCAAGGCCACGAUGCAUAGCCGACCUGAGAGGGUGAUCGGCCACAUUGGGACUGAGACACGGCCCAAACUCCUACGGGAGGCAGCAGUAGGGAAUCUUCGGCAAUGGACGAAAGUCUGACCGAGCAACGCCGCGUGAGUGAAGAAGGUUUUCGGAUCGUAAAACUCUGUUGUUAGAGAAGAACAAGGAUGAGAGUAACUGUUCAUCCCUUGACGGUAUCUAACCAGAAAGCCACGGCUAACUACGUGCCAGCAGCCGCGGUAAUACGUAGGUGGCAAGCGUUGUCCGGAUUUAUUGGGCGUAAAGCGAGCGCAGGCGGUUUCUUAAGUCUGAUGUGAAAGCCCCCGGCUCAACCGGGGAGGGUCAUUGGAAACUGGGAGACUUGAGUGCAGAA